AAGGCAGCCGCUUCACUGACUGAGCCACCCAGUCACCAUGGCCAGGAAGGGGGAUGGGGGAGCAGAGAGGAAGAGGGAGACCCAGAACCUACUAUAACUUAAUGAAGCCUGAGUACUAAAUCUUCCUUUGAGUUUUGUUCUUCAGGAAGAAAAAGUACAAUGUGAGAGAAUUCUUCUUCAGAUCCUUUGUG